UGGGGAAUAUUGCACAAUGGAGGGAACUCUGAUGCAGCGACGUCGCGUGAGUGAUGAAGGAAUUCGUUUCGUAAAACUCUGUUCUAUGGGAAGAAAAGGACUGUACCAUAGGAGAAAGCUCCGGCUAAAUACGUGCCAGCAGCCGCGGUAAUACGUAUGGAGCGAGCGUUGUCCGGAAUUAUUGGGCGUAAAGGGUGCGCAGGCGGCUUUACAAGUUGGAUGUGAAAUAUUGUGGCUCAACCACAAACGUGCAUCCAAAACUGCAAAGCUUGAGUUAAGGAGAGGUAAGUGGAAUUCCUGGUGUAGCGGUGGAAUGCGUAGAUAUCAGGAGGAAUACCGGUGGCGAAGGCGACUUACUGGACUUAAACUGACGCUCAGGCACGAAAGCGUGGGGAGCAAACAGG
rnacentral:rRNA from 1 species